rnacentral:tRNA from 1 species
GCCUGGGUGGCUCAGUCAGUUGAGUGUCUGACUUUGGCUCAGGUCAUGAUCUCAUGGUUCAUGGGUUUGAGUCCCACAUCGGGCU